UACGAAGGGGGCUAGCGUUGUUCGGAAUUACUGGGCGUAAAGCGCACGUAGGCGGUCUAUUAAGUCAGGGGUGAAAUCCCGGGGCUCAACCCCGGAACUGCCUUUGAUACUGGUAGUCUCGAGUCCGGAAGAGGUGAGUGGAAUUCCGAGUGUAGAGGUGAAAUUCGUAGAUAUUCGGAGGAACACCAGUGGCGAAGGCGGCUCACUGGUCCGGUACUGACGCUGAGGUGCGAAAGCGUGGGGAGCAAACAGG
rnacentral:rRNA from 1 species